rnacentral:rRNA from 1 species
CGGCCCGCGUCGACGGCAUGUUCCACUACAAGAUGGACCUGCGUUGUAUUAGCUAGUAGGUGAGGUAAUGGCUCACCUAGGCGACGAUACAUAGCCGACCUGAGAGGGUGAUCGGCCACACUGGGACUGAGACACGGCCCAGACUCCUACGGGAGGCAGCAGUAGGGAAUCUUCGGCAAUGGGGGGCAACCCUGACCGAGCAACGCCGCGUGAGUGAAGAAGGUUUUUCGGAUCGUAAAGCUCUGUUGUAAGUCAAGAACGGGUGUGAGAGUGGAACAAUUGCCGUCGACGCGGCCGAGUCGUGGGGAGGCAAGGGCACACAGGGGGAUAGGG